UUGUAGCUCAGUGGUAGAGCGUCUGACUGUUAAUCAGAAUGUCGUGGGUUCGAUCCCCACCUU
rnacentral:tRNA from 1 species